rnacentral:rRNA from 1 species
AACGAACGCUGGCGGCAUGCCUAACACAUGCAAGUCGAACGAGACCUUCGGGUCUAGUUGCGCACGUGCGCGUACCGGGUGGGAACCUGCCCGUAGGAUCCGAGUAACUCCCCGACCGGGGUUCUAAUAACGGCUAAGGUACUCGGACUAAUGGUUUAUCGCCCUUGGGUGGGCCGGCGUUGGAUUAGCUCGUUGGUAGGGUAAAAGCCUACCAAGGCGCCGCUCCUUAGCUGGUCUGAGAGGAUGAUCCGCCACACUGGGACUGAGACACGGCCGAGACUCCUACGAGAGGCAGCAGUGGGGAAUAUUGGAGAAGGGGCGACAGCCUGAGCCAGCAAGGCUGCGUGAGUGAUGAAGGUCUUAGGGUUGAAAAGGCCUUUUGGCUGGGAGGGUAGUGACAGUAGCGGGAGAAUAAGCUCCGGCUAACUACGUG